UUAAUUAGAAAACGCGGCGGACCUUCGUAAGAAGGUGUAGGCCGUCAAUUGUAUUUAGGAUGGCGUUUUGGACACAUACAUUAUAUGUAAGAUCGUUACUGAUCUUCUGAUUUCAGAUCAUGUAGGGAACAUUAGAUUUAUUGGGCUAAUAGAGAUUUUUGCUCAGGGGCAUUUAUUCACUGGGUUGUAAGAGAAAGGUUGGUGAUUUGUACUUGAACAAGUAGUAUAUAAUUGCCAUGAAAAACCACGUGGAUCACCUGCAACAGCACUCUUUGUCUCGGACCAGCCGCUUGGGAAAUGAAGCUUUGGGACAUCAUAGACCCUUAAUUGGAAUAAGUUGGCGUACGUUCGUUUAUGCUGCCUAUACAAAUGUAUUGUCCAGUGUCGUUGACUUUCGAAUUAGUUAACGUCAGUCCUCGUUCUGGGGUGGGUUUCAGCAACCAACUGGCAUUUUUAAAUUCAGGUCUCCGUCUGCGCCGAGUUCUCCGCGGUACAAAGACAUUGUUACGUUUGGAUGGGUUGGUUUGCACGGGAUAUCCAGAGGUUCGCCCGCUAACGAAACAAAUUCCGUGAUGACGUCAGCCUCGAUGAAAACAAGUUCUUUUUUACCUAGUUAUGUCAAAAGAAUCGCUAUUUGAUUAUCGAAGGUGAAUGAAAAAAAGUUAAAACAGACUGUAAAUGUAAACGUAUUGGUUGAUUUUAAUUUCGGGAGAGACGGCGCAAGUAAAAUAUCCCGUAUCAGAAGGA
rnacentral:lncRNA from 1 species